UGGAAUUCUCAACCUCUAAUCAAGUUUGGGAUGCAAGUUGCAGAUUUUCUUUUGUCCACUAACAUGUUGUCUGGCAACAAUUACACAAAGGUUGCCCUCUUGUUCAAAUUCAUGAACAUGGGGAUGGUAAACAAAAACACCUUCUUCUCCAUUCAAGACAAUUACUGUGUCAACACAAUAAAGGACUUCUGGGAAGAGAGAAGGACAGAGGCUCUUCAUUGCCUUCAAGGGAAGGUUGUCAUAGUCUUAGGUGUGUAGUUUAAAAUGUAUAAUGUUACAUAACUAUUGACAUAAAGCAAUGACAUUGUGACUAUAUGUAAGCAACUAAAUGUCAAGUUAUAUUUUGAUUUUCUUCAGCAGAUGGCAGAAAUGACUCGCCUGGUCACUGUGCACAAUACUGCAGCUACACCACCAUGGAGAAUGACACCAAGGAGACAUUUAUGUUGCCACCAUAGACAAGCGGCAGACAUCAUGGAACUUGUUGUCAUGGAGAAGGAGGGUUUCAUCCAGACUCAGAGAUAAAGCUAGUGGAGAUCUGCACAGAUGCUCAUGUUCAGAUUGGUGCCAUUAUGAGUAAGUAUUAAUCUGACACAUUCUGUAAAUACAUGUCUAUAACAGUAAUAUAAAUAUUGUAGCAAUAUUACAUAAUUGACCUCUUUAUAGACCCAGAUAAAAGGCAAAUACAAGGCCCUUGGAAUUCAUCACAGUCUGGACAUGUGGCAUGGUGCGAAGAACCUUGCCAAAAAAAUUGCAGCCGCAGCAAAGAUAAAAGGACAGUCCAUCCUCCUCAACUGGCUGAAAGAAAUUGUGGUGUCAGUACGAGACUUGGACUCAGUUGCAGGUGCCCAAAAGGUCAGUUUAUUUAACAGGCUUGAAUUUCAAAAAAAGGGAAAAAAAGAAAACAAAAAACUAUCCAGGUACAGGGCAGCCCGGAGCAGAUCACGAAGUGCCUCCUGGACGAAUUCCACUAAGAAAAUCCACAGCAAGGCCGAGAUAAACUGACAGAGAGGCGGGGCCGCUGUUGAGGCGGGGAACUGGUGGCGCACCGGCAGCGAGGCGAAGAAGACCACUGACGGCGAUCGGUGAUCGCGAGCAAGGGAAGGAUAGGAGAAUUAGCACUGCCUGAAAGCAGGAGGUAGAGGGAGAAAACAAAACUAAAGGAUGAAAACAAAACUAGCACGAUCUCUGUGCAGGCAAAACAUGAGCUGUGGAUGGAGCUGAGACAUAAACGAGCACAACACGACGAUCUGACAACAGACAGCACACGAGAGGAGACUAAAUAGAGAAGGAGUGAUUUAACAUAAUGCAGAGCAGGUGAUAGUGGCCAAUAACAAAAUAAUAAUGAAACGAGGGCGGAGACGGGCACCACGAUGACACAGAAAGACAUUGUUAGUGUAAACAACCACAAGCACACACACACACGCACAAUAAGAGAAAAACAGGCAAAUCAGCCCGGGGACGUGACAUUGUGGUGGUGUUGCAAGACGUGAGCAGUUUCUUGUAAGCACUAAAUUUAUUUAUAGCUUUGGGUUAUUUAAUUAAUUUCCAUUAAGGGCAUAUUAUUACUGUAUUUUUACGUUUUGCAGGUAUUAUGGGUUGGCAUUUUUCUCCAUGUCUGUGACAUUUACAGCUGGACUAUGGGAAGCUGUGAACAAGGGCACCUUGAACCGGAACGGGGAAAGAUGUGGAUCCAGAGAGACUCCCAAUGCCACAAAGCUUUAGUGGAUAUAGUUCUCAAUAAGAGGUGGCUAAAAGAUGUUCACAAAUAUCUGAUGUUGCCUAUCCCUGUUAUAGGCAACCGUGGGGGCGACACCUUCUCUGGUAUAGUGUUAUUGUCUUUAAUUUUGAAUUGAUCAUUAUUGUACAACAUGUACAUAAGGUUACAGCUGUCCCUUUCGUGUAAAUAUAAAUAAUUAUAACCACAAGCGGUAAUGGAAC
ensembl:lncRNA